GAGCUGAGCCGUGGUAACAACGUGCUGUACUGGAGGACCACGGCGUUCUCUGUCUGGUCCAAGGUCCCCAAGCCCGUGCUGGUGCGGAACAUCGGGAUCACAGGGGUCGCCUACACCUCCGAGUGCUUCCCCUGCAAACCCGGCACCUUCGCCGCCCGCGCCGGCUCCUCCUCCUGCCAGCUGUGCCCCGCCAACAGCUUCUCCAGCAAAGGGGCCACCGCCUGCCAGCCCUGCGAGCCCACCGCCUAUGCAGAGCCCGGCUCAGCAUCCUGCAAGGUGCGCCCGCCCUGCACUGAUAAGGACUAUUUCUACACACACACGGCGUGCGAUGCCAACGGGGA